rnacentral:rRNA from 1 species
CCUACGGGGGGCAGCAGUAGGGAAUUUUCGGCAAUGGGGGGAACCCUGACCGAGCAACGCCGCGUGAACGAAGAAGUUAUUCGUAAUGUAAAGUUCUUUUAUCAGGGAAGAAAGAGGAAUUUGACGGUACCUGAGGAAUAAGCUCCGGCUAACUACGUGCCAGCAGCCGCGGUAAUACGUAGGGAGCGAGCGUUAUCCGGAAUUAUUGGGCGUAAAGGGUGCGUAGAUGGCAUAGUAAGUCUUUUGUAAAAAUGCUGGGCUCAACCCAGUAGGGCAAAAGAUACUGCAAAGCUAGAGUAUGACAG